AGAUUGAACGCUGGCGGCAUGCCUUACACAUGCAAGUCGAACGGCAGCACGGGAGCAAUCCUGGUGGCGAGUGGCGAACGGGUGAGUAAUACAUCGGAACGUGCCCAAUCGUGGGGGAUAACGCAGCGAAAGCUGUGCUAAUACCGCAUAAGAUCUACGGAUGAAAGCAGGGGAUCGCAAGACCUUGCGCGAAUGGAGCGGCCGAUGGCAGAUUAGGUAGUUGGUGAGGUAAAGGCUCACCAAGCCUUCGAUCUGUAGCUGGUCUGAGAGGACGACCAGCCACACGUGGGACUGACGACACGGCCAGACUCCGUAGGGAGGCAGCGAGGUAGGGUAAUUUUGGAACGAAGUGGGACGAAACGCCG
rnacentral:rRNA from 1 species